GGGAAGCAGCAGUGAGGAAUUUUUCACAAUGGGCGAAAGCCUGAUGGAGCAAUACCACGUGAACGAUGAAGGUCUUCUGAUUGUAAAGUUCUUUUAUUUAGGAAAAAAAGCAGGAUAGGAAAUGAUUCUGCCGUGAUUGUACUAAUUGAAUAAGUGACAGCUAACUAUGUGCCAGCAGCUGCGGUAAAACAUAGGUCACGAGCAUUAUCCGGAUUUAUUGGGCGUAAAGGAAGCGUAGGUGGAGGAGUUGAUCCAUUGUCAAAAGCAUCUGCUUAACAGGUGUCCGCGAUGGAUAUCGCUUCUCUAGAAUUAGUUAGGGGGUACUGGAAUUCAAUGUGUAGCGGUGGAAUGCGUAGAUAUAUUGAGGAACACCAGAGGCUAAGGCGAGUACCUGGGACAUAAUUGACACUGAGGCUUGAAAGCGUGGGGAGCAAAUGGGAUUAGAUACCCCAGUAGUCCACGCCGUAAACGAUGGGUAUUAGGUAUUUGGUUUAAAACUGAGUGCUGUAGCUAACGCGUUA
rnacentral:rRNA from 1 species